ACAUAUCCCUUCCAUCUUUGCCUCGUGCAGCGCUGCCUUUUCAUUUCUCUCUGCCUGUUAUCCUGAUUCCUCUCUAUGCACCGUCGGCGUUUACCACCUGCAGCAUUCGAUUGCCAUCGUCCACCGCCAUCAUUUUUUUUUCCUUUUCAUUUUCCCUUAAUGCAUUGGAUCUCUCCCUCGACUCCGACGAUGUUUUCGCCACUCCACCGCAAAAAUUUAACCUACGAAGAUGAAUUCACUCUCUAAGAGAAACCGGGCUGGUCAUCGGGUGGCUUUACCCGCUCCCGUCCGUGAUCCGACCCUGGCCCUUGGGCUUUGCUGGGUAUGACAAACCACAAAACCCAGCCCCCCAGCGGCUCUCUCUCCCUCCCUCCCUACUUUGCGUUUUCACAACGCCGGCGGCCACCAUGCCUUCCACGUCUCCCCCCUUCUCUGUAUCGUCUCCGUCCCGAAGCCACCACUGCCAUUCUCCUUCCGCCACUCGCCGAGAUCGGCCACACCGACAAGCCACCAGUGGUCACCUUCUGUCUCCGGCUUCCCCGAGACCCCUUCCCCGACCGCGAGCCGUAGCGCCACCGUUCUUCUCCCGAUAUCGCCAUAGCCACCGCCUCCAAGCUCCACCGUUGUCUCUCCAUCUCUCUGUGGCAUGGAGGGUUGCUGGAUUCACCUCAAGUGGCCACCGAUGCCCUUUUUUCGAUCGACACCGCAAGGCCACUGCUGCUUGACGGUUCAGAUCUGACUCCCUCUGAUCUCUCUGUUUCCCUCAGUCUCUGCCCCUGUCCCGAUCUCCCUGUUUCUGACAAACCAGUGGUGCCGCUGCGAGCUCACGUCGGGAGCUAACACCGGCCACACUCUUGCUCCGACAAGCCGCGACGCCCUUUGGAGCUCAAACACAACGUCAUCGAUUGAAGGCCCAGGUAAGUCUAACAGGAAUAACUCUUUGCAUUGGUUUAUUUUUGAAUCGGCGUUUAUAUUUAUAACCCGACCAACUACAAUUUUGUGGUAUUGCUCUCUUUUAGAUAGUGCAUUCAUCUUCUUAGGUUAAUAUUUUUCCUUUUCUAGGACAUGAAAGCCAUUUGCAGCUCCCUUCUUGACGAUAAUCCAGGCUCCCUGCGAUGGAUUAGAUAUUAAAUGUGUGAAAAUUUAUGGAAUGCAAAUGGGCAGAUCUAUCAGACUUAGAGCAUCUCAAAGGGUGCUGCUA